AUGGUUGACUUCAUCUCAUCCACGUUAUCUUUUUCCUGCAUCUGCUCUGCUGGACUCUUCUUGGCAAUGCUCCCUGUGUCUUCUCGUUCCCGAACCCAGGAUGAAGAAGUAGCCGCUACACGAGACUUGAUGGUCUCAGGGCGGAGGUCAGAACACAAGAGCUCAUCUAAAAACCUCUGCUCAGAUGAGGCAAAUGGUUCAUCUAUUUAUGGCUCAUCUCGGCAAGUCACAAGGCCCUCAUAUCCAAUCAGUGACAUGAGGAUGUCUACAGGGAAAACUGGAAAAGAUGAAAAGGAAAUGGAUAAUUGUGAACAAAUGAUACAAAUCCAUGCCUCAUGAGGUAGAUACUGCUAUAACUCUCUUGAUAGAGAUGGAAAUUGAGGCACAGAGAGCUUGAGGACCUCUCUUGGACCUUGUCCUCUAUCUUCUUAGUAGUAGAGCCAAGAUUUCAUCUUAGGGAGUCUAAUUCCAUGAUGUUGAAUCAUUUUCUAGACUCUUCCUCUGGGAACUCUCAUUUUUGUCGAAUAAUCUGUAUCAUCUUGUCUAAAUUUUCAGCAGGCUCCAAUGAAAACAAUUUUCGUGGAAGACUCAAAUACAGGAAUAAUAACGCUUUUUGUAAAAAUGCUGUGACAGAUUUCUUCAAGAAAUAAUUCAUUAAAUUGAUGCCAAUUAUAACUUGUGAGAUCAUAAAGCUCAAUGCAGGAAUACUGAAAACAUGACAGUACUCUUAGGGCAGCAUAUUGAAUAAUUGGAUCUCUUCAGAGAAGCUCUCAGCUCCCUCUCAGAAUUGCUAUGCUACACUCUCACCUAGACUCUGAGAAUAUAAAAACUUAAGGUAUCAAAUAGUGAAAUGAGUUCAAAUUCCUGAGCAUUACACUCAGUUAAGGAAAUAUUUUGUGACAAAUCUUAAAAUAUUUGUCAUUAUUAGCCCAAGUCUCUGGAUUCAAAAGUUAUUUUAAAAUAACAUGGUCAGAAAACAGCAAUUAAAGCCAUAUGUUACAAGCCUGUUGUAGCAAGAAUUCCAAGUGAGGUGUUUUUGUCCUUGACCCUUCAUCCUUUUCCUACUCUCAUUUCUUCAGAACUGGCUCAGAUUUUCCUGGAAGAAGAAUUUUUUGUAAAUUUCAUUUAGGCUCAUCUCCAGAGAGGCAUGGAGAUCAGACCUACUAUAGACUGCAGGUCCCAAACACUCCCUAAAUAAAUAUAUUUAUAUACACA
rnacentral:lncRNA from 1 species